rnacentral:rRNA from 1 species
UUGCCUCAGUAACGGCGAGUGAAGCGGCAACAGCUCAAAUUUGAAAUCUGGCCGUAAGGUCCGAGUUGUAAUUUGUAGAGGAUGUUUUGGGCACCGCCCCGGGUUAAAUUUCUUGGAACAGAAUGUCAAAGAGGGUGAGAGCCCCGUCUUGACCCGCGGUAGGACCUAUGUGAAACUCCUUCGACGAGUCGACUUGUUUGGGAAUGCAGGUCAAAAUGGGUGGUAAAUUUCAUCUAAAGCUAAAUAUUGGCCAGAGACCGAUAGCGCACAAGUAUAGUGAUCGAAAGAUGAAAAGCACUUUGAAAAGAGAGUUAAACAGUAUGUGAAAUUGUGGAAAGGGAAGCGCUGGCAACCAGACUCGAGCGCGGUGUUCCCCCGGGCUUCUGCCUGGGUUAUUUCACCGUGACCGGGCCAUCAUCAGUUUCGGGGGUUGGUCAAAGACUCCGAGAAUGUAUCCUCUCCUUCGGGGGAGGACUUAUAGCCCCAGGUGUCAUGCAGCCUCCCGGGACUGAGGAACGCGCUUCGGCGAGGAUGAUGGCGUAAUGGUUGUCAGCGACCCGUCUUGAAACACGGACCAAGGAGUCUAACAUCUAUGCGAGUGUUCGGGUGUCAAACCCUUGCGCGGAAUGAAAGUGAACGGAGGUAGGAAGGUGUAACAACCCGCACUAUCGACCGAUCCUGAUGUCUUCGGAUGGAUUUGAGUAAGAGCAUAGCUGUUGAGACCCGAAAGAUGGUGAACUAUGCGUGAAUAGGGUGAAGCCAGAGGAAACUCUGGUGAAGGCUCGCAGCGGUUCUGACGUGCAAAUCGAUCGUCAAAUUUGCGUAUAGGGGCGAAAGACUAAU